rnacentral:snoRNA from 1 species
ACAUACAAGAAAAAAAGUGUACUUGUAACAAUGCUAGCACAGGAAGAAGAGUAACUGCUCCAGAUCCCAAAGACUGGGGUGGACCUCUUUCUUAAUGUCCUUCGUCUUCAGAUUUGGUGCAAUAUUG